rnacentral:rRNA from 1 species
CAGCCGCCGCGGGAAUACGGAGGGUGCAAGCGUUAAUCGGAAUUACUGGGCGUAAAGCGCACGCAGGCGGUCUGACAAGUCAGAUGUGAAAUCCCCGGGCUUAACCUGGGAACUGCAUUUGAAACUGUCAGGCUGGAGUCUUGUAGAGGGGGGUAGAAUUCCAGGUGUAGCGGUGAAAUGCGUAGAGAUCUCGAGGAAUACCGGUGGCGAAGGCGGCCCCCUGGACAAAGACUGACGCUCAGGUGCGAAAGCGUGGGGAGCAAACAGGAUUAGAUACCCGAGUAGUCCCUGUCUCUUAUAA